rnacentral:rRNA from 1 species
AAUAGAUACCCGGGUAGUCCACGCCGUAAACGGUGGGCGCUAGGUGUGGGGGACUUUCCACGUCCUCUGUGCCGCAGCUAACGCAUUAAGCGCCCCGCCUGGGGAGUACGGCCGCAAGGCUAAAACUCAAAGGAAUUGACGGGGGCCCGCACAAGCGGCGGAGCAUGUGGCUUAAUUCGACGCAACGCGAAGAACCUUACCAAGGCUUGACAUGCAGGGAAAUCUCGUAGAGAUACGGGGUCCGCAAGGGCUCUGCACAGGUGGUGCAUGGUUGUCGUCAGCUCGUGUCGUGAGAUGUUGGGUUAAGUCCCGCAACGAGCGCAACCCUUGUCCUAUGUUGCCAGCGAGUAAUGUCGGGGACUCAUAGGAGACUGCCGGGGUCAACUCGGAGGAAGGUGGGGAUGACGUCAAAUCAUCAUGCCCCUUAUGUCUUGGGCUGCACACAUGCGUACAAUGGUCGGUACAAAGGGCUGCGAGACCGCAAGGUGGAGCGAAUCCCAAAAAGCCGGCUCAGUUCGGAUUGGGGUCUGCAACUCCG